UACGAAGGGGGCUAGCGUUGCUCGGAAUCACUGGGCGUAAAGGGUGCGUAGGCGGGUCUUUAAGUCAGAGGUGAAAUCCUGGAACUCAACUCCAGAACUGCCUUUGAUACUGAGGAUCUUGAGUUCGGGAGAGGUGAGUGGAACUGCGAGUGUAGAGGUGAAAUUCGUAGAUAUUCGCAAGAACACCAGUGGCGAAGGCGGCUCACUGGCCCGAUACUGACGCUGAGGCACGAAAGCGUGGGGAGCAAACAGG
rnacentral:rRNA from 1 species